GAUGAACGCUGGCGGCGUGCCUAAUACAUGCAAGUCGAGCGAACAGACGAGGAGCUUGCUCCUCUGACGUUAGCGGCGGACGGGUGAGUAACACGUGGAUAACCUACCUAUAAGACUGGGAUAACUUCGGGAAACCGGAGCUAAUACCGGAUAAUAUAUUGAACCGCAUGGUUCAAUAGUGAAAGACGGUUUUGCUGUCACUUAUAGAUGGAUCCGCGCCGCAUUAGCUAGUUGGUAAGGUAACGGCUUACCAAGGCGACGAUGCGUAGCCGACCUGAGAGGGUGAUCGGCCACACUGGAACUGAGACACGGUCCAGACUCCUACGGGAGGCAGCAGUAGGGAAUCUUCCGCAAUGGGCGAAAGCCUGACGGAGCAACGCCGCGUGAGUGAUGAAGGUCUUCGGAUCGUAAAACUCUGUAAUUAGGGAAGAACAAAUGUGUAAGUAACUAUGCACGUCUUGACGGUACCUAAUCAGAAAGCCACGGCUAACUUCGUG
rnacentral:rRNA from 1 species